AUUGAACGCUGGCGGCAGGCCUAACACAUGCAAGUCGGACGGUAGCACAGAGGAGCUUGCUCCUCGGGUGACGAGUGGCGGACGGGUGAGUAAUGUCUGGGGAUCUGCCCGAUAGAGGGGGAUAACCACUGGAAACGGUGGCUAAUACCGCAUAACGUCGCAAGACCAAAGAGGGGGACCUUCGGGCCUCUCACUAUCGGAUGAACCCAGAUGGGAUUAGCUAGUAGGCGGGUUAAUGGCCCACCUAGGCGACGAUCCCUAGCUGGUCUGAGAGGAUGACCAGCCACACUGGAACUGAGACACGGUCCAGACUCCUACGGGAGGCAGCAGUGGGGAAUAUUGCACAAUGGGCGCAAGCCUGAUGCAGCCAUGCCGCGUGUAUGAAGAAGGCCUUCGGGUUGUAAAGUACUUUCAGCGGGGAGGAAGGCGAUGUGGUUAAUAACCUUGUCGAUUGACGUUACCCGCAGAAGAAGCACCGGCUAACUCCGUGCCAGCCGCCGCGGUAA
rnacentral:rRNA from 1 species